rnacentral:rRNA from 1 species
CGCGUCCUACGGGGCGCAGCAGUGGGGAAUAUUGCACAAUGGGGGGAACCCUGAUGCAGCGACGCCGCGUGGGUGAAGAAGUAUUUCGGUAUGUAAAGCCCUAUCGGCAGGGAAGAAAUUGGACGGUACCUGACUAAGAAGCCCCGGCUAACUACGCGCCAGCAGCCGCGGUAAUACGUAGGGGGCAAGCGUUAUCCGGAUUCACUGGGUGUAAAGGGAGCGUAGACGGCCAUGCAAGCCUGGAGUGAAAGCCC